rnacentral:lncRNA from 1 species
UGAAUUGCAAAUGCUUCCUCUCGUGCCUUGUCCGCUUCAUCUCUUUUCAAGUCUCUCUCAAUUCUUAGUGAGGUGUUCUUAGCUAUUUGCUCCAAUAAUUGUACACAUUCAUCGUUCGGAGUGCCCCCUCUCUUAGCCUUUGCCGCCUUUCUCCCAACAGGUCUCGGCGGACAUGGGAGUGGUGACUCCGUUUCCAUUGGGGAGUCUAAUGGCGAAUCGUGGAGCGGCGUCUCAUUCAACACAACCGGCAGAACGGUGGGAAUAAUUUUGAAUCUCGAACAAUCCUUCACAACUUCCCAACAUUGGAAAUGCACGAAAUUUUUUUGCCUUGCCCUGUGGCACCGAACCACAUUUGUGUUUGUAUGAUCUAUUAAAAAUAAAUAAUUGGACGUGCAAGAAAAAAAAAUAUUAUGCAAGAAAAUAUAAACUAUUUUGAAAUGCAAGAAUAAAAUUGAUUAUGCAAGAAAACAUAGACAAAUUGGAAAUGCAAAAAGAAAAAAAAAAGGUUAUGCAAGAAAAAGAAAUAGAAUAUGCAAUAAAAAAAAAAGUUACAUUAAAUUGAUUAAAAUGGCAAUUAUAAAUAUUUUACCUCAUCGGAUAGAUUUUGACCGCUUCGAAUGUUCUCCCUUGCUUUUGUCAAGGCAUUUCUCCAUUUCCCUAACUCUUUAUUCAAAAGUUUUCAUCUACUAGACACGGUCAUUUCAAUCUGAAUGGAACCCGAUCUUUGACAAAAUUCUCCAUAAAUUUUGCUCCACAUAUGAUGGAACUUCAUCUCAUUGCCCGUGAUAGGGUCAUGACUAACGUUCACCCAAGACUGACACAACGCAAUAUCUUCCGCAGUUGACCACGAGCCUCCGGUUUUGACAGAAGAUGCCUUUUUUUUUUUUUUAAUACAAAUGGAAAGUAGUAGAAAAAUGUGAGUGGAGAGUAAAAAAUAUUGGAAGGAAAAGAGUUUGUAUGGAGAAUUGGUGUGGAAAGAGAAAAAUGUGAGUGGAAAGUAAAAAAUAUUGGAAGGAGAAUAGUUUGUAUGGAGAAUUGGUGUGGAAAGUGAAAAAUGUGAGUGGAGAAUAAAAAAUAUUGGAAGGAGAAUAGUUUGUAUGGAGAAUUGGUGUGGAAAGUGAAAAAUGUGAGUGGAGAAUAAAAAAUAUUGGAAGGAGAAUAGUU